CAAGUCUCGCCUGAUCUAUCAGAGAUGGCGGCCAACGCCGGCGCCGGCGCCGGUGGCAGCAAGAUCCGCAACGCCAAGCUGGUUCUUCUGGGGGAUGUCGGCACCGGCAAGUCCAGCCUGGUGCUCCGGUUCGUCAAGGGCCAGUUCGUCGAGUUCCAGGAAUCGACCAUCGGCGCGGCCUUCUUCUCGCAGACCCUGGCGGUCAACGAUGAGACGGUCAAGUUCGAAAUCUGGGACACGGCCGGCCAGGAGAGGUACCACAGCCUGGCGCCCAUGUACUACCGCGGCGCCGCGGCCGCGAUCGUCGUCUACGACAUCACCAACGCGGCCUCUUUUACACGUGCAAAGAAAUGGGUUCAAGAACUUCAAGCACAAGGGAAUCCAAACACAGUAAUGGCUCUUGCUGGGAACAAGGCUGAUAUGUUGGAGGCAAGGCAGGUGCCAGUGGAAGAAGCGACGACUUACGCACAAGAGAAUGGGCUCUUCUUCAUUGAAACGUCUGCCAAAACAGCCAUCAAUGUGAAUGACGUAUUCUAUGAGCUCGCAAAGAGACUGCUCGCGGGGCAGCAGGCGCAGAACCCGCAGGCGGGGAUGGUGCUCUCACAGAGACCGGCCGAGAGGAUGGUGAGCAGCACGUCGUGCUGCUCAUCAUAG
rnacentral:rRNA from 1 species